GAUUCCUCACUCCGCACCAUUCCUGGAUUCUAAGCUGGGUCUCUCAGAGAGCCUCCGUAGCUGCUGCUGUCUGUCUGCCAUGUUCUCCCAGAAGCCAUGGUAACUCCAGAGAGACAUUUGGCCUGAACAGCUUCACCACCACUGCCUCUGGCUCCACCUCCAUGCUCUCCACCACGAAUGCAGGGACUGAAGCACCAGUCACCACUGCAGGUCUUGAAGACAAAGACUCAGCCAACCAUGGCAGGAACAGAACGCAAGAGAGUGCAAAGUCAUGGCCAUCGUGACCAAUCACACAGCUGCACAAACAGCCCCGCAGCAUCUGAGAAUGUAGCAUGCCAGUUUCCAUGAUGGAAUUACAGCUCUUUUCUGCUUCCUAAGAAAUGGUGACACUGGGCAUCCUAAAAAUGUCAGUUGAAUGCAUGUCCUGGCCUCCAGAAGUGUGUAUACAUCCUGGAGUUAAAUUUUCUUGUCUAUAAAAGAAAACCAGGAGUUUGGUGCUGACAGCCUGGAGCUGAGAGCACUUCUAGUUUCUGUGACUUCUUGCUGCGGCCUGCAAAGGAUCCUCUGAAACCUUCAAGUGUCACAAUGAUAUGAUGAAGACAAUUAUUUGAUGUUGAAGAACAGCAAUAUAAAUAUAAUGAAGAUAUAGUAACCUGCAAUGAUUUCAAGUCCUUUCAGAAGCAUGAAAUAAAGAAGACUGGAGAGAGACUCUGUCAAUAUGGUCAAUGUGGGGAGGACAGCUCUGAUUUUUGUGAACAAACUCACCCUGGGCAGAAAUCCUUUCUAAGUAAGAAAAGUUUGAAAGUCUGUGCAACAUCUAACAGUGUUCAAAUCCAUGAGAGAAAUCACAGUUUGGGGAAAUAAUAUGUACA
rnacentral:lncRNA from 1 species